GGGCGGCGGCGGAGGAAAGUUUGGAGGUGCGGAUCCCGGAGGAAUAUUGUCACUAAGCCGGGAAUAAAGCGGGGUUAGCAUUUGGGUUCUCCUCUGGUCGCUCCUAAAGUUAGGGGUGUUUUAUCGCUGUGUUUUACGCUAAAGAAGUUCGUGCUGUAGGUUGAAGGCCGUUGGGAGUUGACUGGGCAUCUUGCAGCUUUGUGGGUGCGUGAGGUGACCACCGUCACCCCGGGCAGUUUGGGGAGGUGGUGUAAGGCCGCAUUCCAAACUGCCUUUGGAAACCUGCCAACUCAGUGUCGUGACUUGUGCCAUAUACAGAAUUUCUCAGGGAGAAUCGUACACAGAAUCACAAAACGAAUUAGGUUGGAAAAGGCCUGCGAGAUCAUCGGGUCCAACCCUUGACUGAACACCACCAUGUCAAUUACACCGUGGCACAAAGUGCUGCCCCUGGUACUUCCUUAAACACCAAAGCAGUCCUGUGGAGUUUGGAAAACCUUGUUUUAUUCUUAGGUGGUUUUUUUUUUCUAAUCCAAAAUAAAAAAAUUAAUCCUUUUGUGAGAAAGCAAUAUAUUUUCCUAUCAAUUAGAAUUCUAUGGGGCUUUUUAUUACCAGCUAAUCAAUCGUGUUUCAGAGUCUCACAAAAUAAUAGAAUCAAAUAAAAUGUACUUCGUUCCUGCUAAACAAAUGUACAAGUACUUGCAUUUGGACCAAACACUAAACAUUAAUGAAAGUGUAACGCAGGAAGCCAUAUCAUGGAUUUGCAGAAGUCUUGGAGGUGACCAAACCCACGGCAGAGCUGGCAUCUCCCCAUGGCAAAAUGUGACGUCUUUGUUCAGCCUCCACCCUGCCCUGGCUUUAAACUGAGGUGAUGACUGGUAUCUGAAGCAGCUGACAAAUGAACACAUCCUGAGAUGGCAGUGGUGGCUUCUGUCAGCUGAGUACAGCAGAUGGCCAGCAUCAGCAGUGUCUUAUAGUGAGUGAGUUAAGUUGCUCUGUUUCUACCCUUGGCACUCCUGGACAAUGGCAAGAUAGAGCCCAGAGCAUGAACUUGUGAAGGAGAAAUAAUUUUGGCAACAGAACAGGGAAAGAAGUGUCAUUCUCAAGCAGUCAUGACGUGGGAAAGGUGAGAAUGCUAUCCCAGCUGAGAUGUUUCAAGCUUUUUCAUAUACAUCCUCUAAGGUUGCCAGCUCAGUCUUCUCUAAGGCAGUCUGUUCUGGGGCCUUACUCUCCUUAACUUGGAAAACAUUUUUCUAAUUGCUGACCCAAGUUUCUAUUUUUGCAGUUCCUUCUCAUUCUAUCCCCAGUGGAAUUGCAGAAUUUUUUUUUUUCUUUUCUUUCUUUGUUACUUUUUUUUUUUCCCCCCUAAUAGAGCCAUGCUGCUUUUCCAGGGUGUGCAUUUGAAAGUGUUCUGGUCUGUGGUGCUGACUCAGAGAGUAGGUCAGACUGGAGUGACUUCUGGCAUGAACAGAUAAUCUGCUUCAGAUGGGCACUGCUGAAUUAGCACGUGUACAGGAUAGUGAUUCCUGUGCCAGCAUGCACCAAUCUGUGAUUCCCUGUUCCAGAGGAAGCUGCUAUUGCUGUGCUAUGUGCACACCUUAUGCAUGGUAAAGUGCCAGACCUUUCGUGUUGUGGGGAUUUUGUGUAGCUAUUCCCUUUACAAAAGGUUGAUGGUAAUACCAUAAGAUUGUGUUGCUUGAGAGAAUACAUGAACUUUUCACUGCACCAGCUGCAGGUCAUUCAAUUGCGAGGAGAACCAGAAGGACCAAAUAGCAAAGGAUGCUUUGGUCGGUUUCAACAGGUAAAGUCCUUCAGCUGUUCACUGUGACUGAGAUUACCCAUAUACAGGACAAAUUUCUGUGGUCCAUGUCUGCCCUGAAAUUUUCUCAUAGGUCUCAGUCCAGGCUCUUUGACCAUUUUAUUAUGGUCCUGCCACCUUUCAAUCAGUAGCCUGUGAUCUCCUAACCCAGUGCUGCAAUCCUGCUGGUCUGAGACACCAGCCUGCAGCUCCUCUAGUGCAGCCCUGCAGGCACUGCCAACCUGUGAUUAAUUAUACCAGUUCACACGGUGAGCCAAAGAAAACUGCAGGGACCAUCUGAAAACCAAGGGCACAGAGGAAAAGUCAAAAUAAAACUGAAGUAGAAUGUGAUUCACAGGCAUGUGUGAAACUGAAGGAGGGCAGAGAGGCAGAGUAGGUGGCAGGGCUGGGCUGUGUGCCUCCUGCAGCCUGAUGCUGAGCACUGGGGUCGGUCUGGGCAGGGGCAGUGUUGCAUGGGAAGGAUGCUUACUGAGGAAGGAGGGUGCAGGGCAUGGAGACACAUACUUGAAUGAGAUUUUGUUGACUCUCUGCUGGCUUGAUUGAGCUCUCACACCUCACAGUGGUCAAUAUGUAUCGGCUCCACAAUGCUGGACCCGCCCAAGGAUCUUGUGGAUUUGUUUGCCAAGCUCCCUUUCCACCCUGCCAGCCCAAUUUCUGUUUUGUGCUCCCAUUUCCAGUGUGACUUUGCAUCAGUGGCAGGAGGGUCUAGGCAAGCAUGUUUUAGAGUUGGACACAUGACCUGAGAUCUGAGGAAGGAACAGACGUGCAAAUAGCAGAGAGAAGGUGCAAACAGGAUUGAAAGAUUCUGUGAUUGAAGGGAGCUGGUGGCGUGGAGGAUAAAGGGGCAGAUGGAGAACAAAAAGAAACAGACCAUAAAUCCUCCAAGGUCCUGUGCAGGGCCAGGGGUUGGCCUGCACUCUUGUGCAAAAGUGAUUCUUGUGGGUCCCUUCCAACUCGGGACAUUCUAAGAUUCUACAUAGGAAGUGUCAUGAAACUCUGCUCAUGUAAGUUAAACAAACGAAUGUUUGGACAAAUGUGUUCCACUGUGAGGAGUUUAUUUCAGUAAAUGCCUUUAAUCCAAUUUUAGGACAUUGCAGUUCAAUUUAUUGUGUUGCUAAACUGUGGGCCUUACUUGUGAAAGGAGCCAGACUGCUUGCCCAUAGCAUGACAUGGGUUUUGUGGCCAAAGCUGAUGCUGUUCCCCCCUCCACUUCUGACACCACAGCAAAGUUCUUGUCUCAGCUCAAGGGGAUGUGACUAGCCAUCAGCCACUGCCCUGCAAUACAGCUCUUACCUGUUUGAGGUGGGGAGCAGUGUGCUGCCAUUGUUGCAUACUGUGAUAACUGUUCUGUUGAGGUAUGUUUUGUGGUCUCUGGCUUCUAAAGCACUUGGGGUUACAGUUGGGACCCAUUGUGGCCAAACUUGGUGUUUUUGCAGACUGAGAGUGUGGCCCUGCCUGGCCAUCCUUUAGAGGGCACUGACUGACUGUGGUUCCAUCAUCUGCUGAAUGUACCCAGGGACUUGUUGCCACUGAGAGAAGGACCAUUCCCCUUUCCUGCUCCCUUCUUCCCUUGUACCCAGAGCUUUUUUCCAUUCUCCAGCCCAUGCUGUCCUGAUCACUUCCCUUUUAAGGGCUGGUUGGAUGCAGGGUUGGUUUUUAUUCUUUGCACUGAGCUAAUUUGGGAUGUUUUAGUGAUUUAGAUCUGCUCUCAGAGACAGAGACACAAGAUGGUAGCAGGGUGUGUGGCCCAGAGACAAAGGGAAACUAUUGCAGUGCUGAUAAAAUGCUAAAUGACCUUAUGCCUCCUGUGGAAUUAUGUCAUUUGCAGCACAAUUCUGGAGAAAUAAUUAAUUUUGGUCACCCUGUUUUGCCUAAAAAAGGGGGAGAGCAGAAGGGAAGGGGACAUCUAAGGGAUGAGUAAUGGUGAAAGGACUGAAGAAAGAAAUGUGUCAUGAGGGGCUUCAGAUCCUGGGGCUGGGGAUUGAAAGAGGAUUUCAAUGACUGUCCAGAGUAAGGGGGAUUUCACUAAGAACUGUAAGAGGUGUCUAGGGCAGGAUUAAAUGUCCAACAUGUUUGGCUCAUGUCCCUUUUGUCCUCACAGAAGGGCAGGGCCCAACUGGUGUGGAAAAUAGAUGUGUCUCUGGCUAAGCACCUGGGUCUCUCUGAAGACCUGAAUACUUCUCCCUUUGCUGUCACAUUAUUGGUGUUAGAUAAAACACAUUCUUUUUUUUUUUGUUGUUGUUGUGUAAGGUCAUCAAUUUAUACUCCUAGAACUGCCUCCAUCCCUCUUGCCAGUUUUGCACCUUUCCACUUGGGCUUUGUAUGAGUCUGCCAAGAAAGAAAGUCAGUGGGCAGAGGAAGAGGAGCACUGGGCUGGAAGUGGAGCAGGAACUCUCCUGCCAACCAAGAUAACCACAAAGCCAAAGGACCCAUCUGUGGGUGGUCCUUGGCCCCUCAGCAGCUGGGGCUAUUUUCAUCCUAGCUAAGAGUGACUCUGCUUCCCCUGGUGCAAGGCAGUCAAACCUGUCCAGUUACCUGCAGCCCCAAGGGGAAGGUAAUAAAAUGCCAGGUAAAGCAAAAAUUAGCAAAAUAUAUAACAAUAUACAAAUUUCCCACCCUUCCUAGGCAAGAUGACAAUUCACUGCCUUUGACUGAGAAGCUGAAGCAAUUGGACUGUUAUUUUGAAGCAUGUGUUGAACUGGGACUGCUCGAGUCUCAGCCAUCCCUGCAGAGGAGCAGAGCAAAAGCACUGGCUGCUGUAGCCUGCAGUACAUGCAGCCUGCUUGUGGGUGGCUUAGAGGCAUCUGAACAUUUUGGUACUUUUCUGCUUCUAGAAAUGUUCAUCCUGCUCUAAGCAUCCUUACCUCGAUGUCCAUCCAUACGUUGCAUGCAGCUGCCUAGCUUAUGGGUGCUGUAGGGAGAAAUCCCAAACCCUUAGUUAUGAUGUUGUGUUGUUCCCAUGCAAACUCACUGGAGAGCCUCAUGAUGAAUGCCUGGUGAGGGCUUCCUCUCUGAGGCUGAUGUGUUUGGUGGAUACAGUAAAAGAGGCAGAUGCUGGUGACUGGGCCCAGAGAAGUGAGUUACCAGUGGUUCAUUGCAGCAUCAGCCUUGCUCCACCUUGGUCAGGACUGGGUUCCAGGGGUAUUUUAUGGUGCAGCAUGAGCUCUGCUCCACAGUUGUGAGGAAGGGUCCGUAGUGAUGCAGUGUCCCCAGCCAAAUGCAAAGGAGAACCACUUAAUUGCUAAAAACAGGCCUUUUAAAGCAGUUAGGCCUUUAUCAGUUACAUAGUUUUAAAUCAUAACAAACAUAAUUCAACCAACCACUAUACACUACCAUGUGAAUAUGUGAUAGUUGUGUAGCUUAUUUUUCUACCUCUAAUUCAGGUGAGUCUCUUUCCCACAGAGACUCACAGUCCUUUUCUACUUAGAUGAAGUAAUAGGCUUGAGCCAUGAUUUUACAAUGCCUUCUUUUUGUAAGGUUUUACAUAUAUGCAACACAUCAACUUAUAGCUGAUGACUGAGAGGAGAAGGGAAGGGUAAAGCAUGGCACCAGGGCUGUGUAUAAUCCAUCCAAAAGGGGACUGGAAGAAAUGGAGCAUGGAGGGAAUUACAUCUAGGCCAGCACUGCAGACUUCACGCAAAACAGCUUCAGAAACAUCUCUGAUACUCUCUUUGAUUGGCCUGCAUAGUCUGGGGAGCAUCCUGAGUUGCUCUGGGGCAAACCCUUCCAUCCUGGUUCCUACAACACUUACAUGCUGCCUUCCCCCUUUAUCUGCACUUUCUCUGUUGGUACAAGUGACAGGACCCUCUGAAUAAGCAAAGGAUGUUAGCUGUCAUCCACUGAGGAUGUGGCAAAGGCCUGUGGACAAGCAAUACUCUAAACAUACCUGCUUAAGAUGAAAGAUGAACAUUACAAGGCUAGUGAUUCUUAACUACAGUAGAAUGAGCACAGUGAAACCCAAAACAAAAGGGAAAAUUAAAUAGAAAAGCUACUAAAAAUGUCAUUGCAAAAAUGACUUAAAUAAAUAUAUAAAUUUUCAUAUACUGCAAGCUGCCAGUUUUUGAAAGCAUCAGGAAACAAGCUGUGGAGCACUGGAAUGGAUAAAACCUGGUUCCCAAAAUGCAGCUCUACUGAGCUGCCUGGCCCAUGAAAUCUCAUUGCCAGUGAUGCUGCUGUUGGGCCAGAGGCAGGCAGGGGCAUGGCCAACCCACGUGCUGAGGGGUGGCUGGGGCAUCUGCUGAGUGGCCACCAGACCACGUUCCUACCAGGUGAGCUCAGCCUUCCUUCCAGGGACAGGGCUGCUGCUAUCUAUUUCUUCUAUGCCCAGCUACCAAUUUUCAGUAAAUUUAUCAGAACUCCGCUGUCUUUGAGGCAUCUUGGUCAAAUUUGGUCAAGGUUACCUAGUAAUACUGGGGGAAAAAACAGGAAGUCAGGCCUUGGGAUUAUACAAGUCUCUUGCCUUUAUGAAAUGCAGACUGAAAAUAAAUCCAGAGCUCAGAAAAAUAGCAAAUGCCUGUGGCUGUUGCAGGGUGCCAGAGAAUGGCACAGGCAAUGUGCUUUGUGGCACAGAGGUACACAGUACUUUUGCCAAACAUGACGCUGAGCUGAGCAUGCAGCACCAGAGGGGAUGUCCAGCCAGCACAGGGAUGGGCAUCACAGUGCAGAUCUUCACCUAGUGGGAAUCUGCUGCUGCUGUUUUCUGCUGCUCUCAGCCUAGACUGUGCCUAUUGCGUGCAAGGUGUGAAGGCCUUCAACAGGUCAGAUGCCCCUACUAAGACAAGGGAUGUUCAGGUACUUCAGUGACCUUGAGUGUGAAAGUCUUUAUGAAUGUGCACUUGGAUUUGGAGGGGCAAAAAAAGGUCUUUGAUCAUCACAAGGAUCUGACUUACUCAUGGAUGUAGACUGAUUUCUUCUAAUUGGCUAGGGGGGGUUUUCCAGGUAUUUUUCUCUGUAAGAACAAGUCUGUUUCAUCCAGCUGCACUAUUCAGCUCUGCUGCUGAUGUUUUUGUUUUCUCUGCCUGUGGUAUUCUGCAUGGGCAUGAAUAAGCAGGUAUCACUACUGCACACUGGCAGUCUCUCAAGGGAUCUGCAGCAAACAGUGAGCACAGUGAUCCAAAAUCACCUUCCAUAUCAUGUUGGCAAAGAACAAAGCCCAAGGGCACUGAUGCCAGCUAGCAUAGCUUGGCAGGGAGGGAUGGGGGAGUUCUAACUCCUCCAUGUCUUUUCUGACAUCACUGCCCCAUGGGGUUCAUACUGGGUGUUGUUCAGCAGUCCCUGUGCUCCUCAGGGUUGCAGCCAGCUUUGCAUGGCAGCGACACAGCUUCGAUGGAGUGAAAAGAAGGUUAACAACAGUCUCUGCUUCCUGCAAUAGUGCUGCUGCAGCCAGCUUACUGGUCUUCAAAAAUAAGUUGUCACUUGUUCAGCUGUUUUACAUAAAAGCAAUUCCCCCUCUAUCUUCAUAAGAGCUGGCUGGACAGCUCAGACUUAACAGCUUCAAUUUCUUCCCCAGGGCACAACCAAGAUGUUGCUGGUUUUUUAUCCAAAAAUUUCCCAAAUCAAGGAGGAAGUCUGCAUUGGGGGUCCUGGUGGACAACAAGCUGCCCGUGAGCCAGCAGUGCCCUUGUGGCCAAGAAAACCAAAGUUAUCCUGGAGUGCAUUAGGAUAGGGUGCCAGGAAGUUGAGGGAGGUGAUCCUGUCCCUCUGCUCAGCCUUGGUGAAGCCUCACCUGGAGUUCUGUGUCCAGUUCUUAGAUUUCCAGUUCAAGAAGGACAAGGAAAUACUGGAGAGGGUCCAGCAGAGGGCAAUGAAGAUGAUUCACAGAGUCAUGAGGUUGGUUAGCAUUGGAAGUGGCCUCUGGAGAUCAUCUAGUCCAAUUGAAUAGGGGUUUGGAGCACCUCAGUUUUGAGGAGGGGCUGAAGGAGCUGGGCCUGUUUAGCCUGGAGAAGGAGAGUAUCAAAAGGAUGCAGCCAGGCUCUUCCUGGUGGUGCUGAACGAUAGGACAAGAGGUAGCAAGAAGAAACUGGUGCACAGUAAGCUCUGACUGAACAUGAGGAAGAACAACUUUACUGUGAGGGUGACAAAGCACCGGAACAAGCUGACCAGAGGGGCUGUGGAAUCUCCUUCUGGAAUGAUUCAAAAGCUACCUGGAUACAAUCCUGAGUAAUGAGCUCUUGAGACCCAGCUCAUGCAGGGAGGUGGAAGCAGAUGAUUUCCAGUGGUCCCUUCCAACCUUACCCAUUCUGUGAAGUGAUUCUGUGAAGAAUGUGGAACAGAAAAACAGGGCUGGCUUCCCAUGGCUCUUCAUUCUCACUUUCUGAGUGAUUCUGUCAUUUUGAGAGUGAAAACAAUCCUGUAUUUUGCUCCAGAAGGAUCAACCCAGGAAGGUAUGAGUGUCUCAAAACAGAUCACAGGAAAUUCUGCUGCUAAUUAGCUUUGGCUUCCCUGAUUUUCUGUAUAAUUUUAUGUUUGCUACAUCUUCAUAGAUGAAGCCUUCUGCUACUGUGUAGCCAAAUGCUACAGUAUGGCGCAGUUUGGUCCCAUUUGGCCCAAAAUGGUCCCAUUUUGGGACUGGAGCACCAAAAUGAAAGGCUUUCUUUUCUGCAUUUUGUUCCCUUGUAAAGGGAUUUGCCUCCAUGAAUUACCUGAUGUCCAGUUACCUGUACCUGCCGCUCAUCUCUGCUCUUCAAUUUUCCUGCCUAUCCCCUUUCCAUCUUUGUUCUUAUUGCUGGGUCCACAUGAAAACCAGUUUUUUUUAUAGCCAGAAUGUACCACUAAUUCCCACUUCCAGGGAGCAAACAGGAGCCCUGACAUGUAUUGCUUGGCUUGUCAGAAAGCAGGGUUGUAUGGUGAAAAACUGCGGAAGGCAGGAACACACAACCGGUUGUGCAACUCCCUUCCCUGAAGGGAAGAGUUUGCCGUUACCUAAGCAGAGCAAGUCCAAGCAGCCAGCACUCCUUCCACACUGCUGUCUCCUGCCUGUGCUGUGAGGGAAAAAAAUGGGGGGAAGGAGAUGGCCUGGAAAUGCUGAGUCUUGGCUAAGACAACAGGCUGCUAGCACAUUGUGCAGGCAAGGCAUAGAUUUGGGCCAUCUCCAAGCACCUCUGAGCUACCUGCAGGAAGUGCUUGAUGCCAACUGAAGAGCCAUAGGGAAAAGUGAACCCAGUUGAACCCAGCUGCCUGUGUGGGUGAACCUCUCACUGCCAGGCCUGCUGCUGGUGGUGAGGCACUCUGCAGCUCCCCUUUCCCCCACUGUACACACCACAUGCAUCUUCAAAUUGCUUCUCCUCAUCCCCCUUUUCCCCCUUUGCAAAAUGGUCAGAACAAGAGUUCUAUCCAAGAGUUUCCUGUUCUCUGAGGAAGUGAAUAAAAAAGUAAAAAAAAAAAAUCUGUAAUUAUUGUAUUGUUUCUUGCUUAGCCUCCUGACAGAUCCCUAGCUGUUUGCUUGGACCAUUUGAAGACCCUUGGUUGCUGCCCCAUUCUCUGCUCACACAGAAGUUUGUGGCCAGGUUGUGGUUGCUGAACAUGAAUCACCUGCUCUCUAGAGCCUGACGGUUUCCUGUGUCCCAGUCCUUCUCCUGCAAACAGCUACCAGACAGAUUGUUUUAAGCCACAGCUCGUUUUAAGCCACAGCCAUACUUUUUAAGCAUUCCCUAUUGUUAGUAUGGAGAUUAUACAAGAUUUUUUUUUCUCAGUCACUAAUGAAAUCGGCCUGAAAGGCAAACUGGAAGCAGAGGGGUCCCAG